rnacentral:lncRNA from 1 species
CUGAGCAUUUCUUAAGAAGAAUACCUAGAAACAUCUGGGGUCCUUCUAUUUCAUUGUCUUACAAUUAUUAGGCUUUGUGUAAACGCUCGCAGAUUGAAUGACGAAAUAAAAGAAGAAACUACAGCACAGUCAAUUUUCUCCAUGACAGCCUGAGAGAUGUAGCUGGUGCUGCCACUUUUCCUUCAUUUUUCCCUGCCUUGAAUAUGGUGGUGAUGCCUGGAGCUUCAGCAGCCAUCUUAUGGCCAUGAAAUGGCAAGCAUGAGAAUGAAAGAAAAUGCACUCAUCAUGAAAGGAGGAAGAGCAGAAGAAAUCUGGGUCACUGGUGAUAUCAAUGGAUAGCUGAAGCAGUGUGGGCUGCUCUGGAUGGAAAAUGCCCUGGGUUCUCCGAGACUUAACACCCCGCCUUGUGAACGCGAGCAAGAUUAUUCUCUCUGAGCAGCUCUUUUCACAUGUGAUAAGCUUGGCAAGUUGCCCUGGAUUGAAUUCUCACCCACUGUCUUCACCCAACCCAGCAGAGAAGAAGGCUUGUGACUGUGUAAGCUGUCAAGAGGCAAGAUAAGGCAUUUGCAAUUGGCAGUGUUUCAAAGGACUCCAGAUUUCUCCAAAGAACCUAGAUUUCCCAGGUACUGAACAUGUGCAAAAUAGAAACAAACAUUCAAGAUGAGUGAGUGAUGAGUUCUGCCUGUGGUCAGAAGAAAACAACACUCCCAACUCUGCAACCUGAUCACUUCCCUACUUAGUCCUGUUUGUGGAGCCGCCUUAUUAACGACAUUAGAACAAAGAUAUGAAGGUGAUGUACAAUCAUUACUAGUUUUUAACCAAAGAUUUUGGUCACAAUAAGGACCAAUAGCUGUUUCUUUGGACCUCUG